rnacentral:lncRNA from 1 species
UACGCAGCUUCAUGCCGCGUUUCUGUUUUCUGUUUUUUUUUUUAAACAAUAUUGAUAAUAAUAAAAAUAACAAAAUAAUUUAAUUAACCUUGGAUAAAACAAAUAAACUAGAAACAACAAAGUAUAAAAUCCAAUUCUUUUUCAUUUUCCAUUUUUAUCAUUUUUCAUUUUUUCCAAGAAAGCAAUGAAUAAAACAAAAUGACUAAAACAUAUUUUUUUUUGAAUGUUUUCCUUUUCCUUUUCCUUUUUUCCCUUUUUAUGAUUUUUCAUUUUUUCAUUUUUUCACGAUUUUUCCUUUCUCUCUUUUUUUUUUUCAAGAAAUUCUAUGCUAAAAACUUAAAAAAAAUAAAAAUAAAACUAUAAACUAAAAACUAAAAAUCGAAUAAAACUAACACGACAAAUAAAAAAAUAAAAAUAAACAGUAAAUGAAAUUACACCAAAAUUUUGGUGUCUACACUAUGGAAGAACCAUGGAGUCGAGGAGGCAACCUGGGAGAUGGAAAAUGAGAUGAAAACCAGAUAUCCCGAACUGUUUAGCGAUUCAGGUGAGAAUUUCGAGGACGAAAUUCUUUAAGGGGGAGAGAGUGUGAGACCCCGAAAAUUUUCUUAUUUUUCAAGCAUUUAUUUUGGGCUUUUGGGCUUAAAUUUAGGGUUUUCUAUUAUAUGUAGGUUUUCUGGGGAAUUUUAUGAGAAAAUAUGAAUUUUGCAUCAUUUUCUGGGUUUAGGUUAUAUUCUGUGCUAGCAAGGGUGUACAGUAGUUGCGGGACCCACUAAGACGAUCGGUACAGAUAAAUGUAGUUUUCGAAAUUUUAUAUACGGAAGCUUUAUUACCUAGUGUUAUGAGUUAAUUAGAUGUUAGCUAGUAUAAUUAAGUGUUGUAAAACAAAAGAAAGAGAUAAGCUUGAAGGCCACAUGUCACAUUUUUAUUGGAGGUUUAAUUUUGACUAAGUCUUACACCUUUACUAAAUCAAAAUUUUACCAAAUUUCUUCUUCAUUUUACAUCUUCUUGGCCGGCCAUCAUAGGGAGAAAAGAGAGAAAAGUUCCCAACUUUGGUUCUUCAUUUCUUACCAAAAUCUUGAAAUCCAACCAUUAAUUUCUCAAAUUCCUCCAUAAAACCCAAUUGCUAGGAAAGGUUGAAGAGCUUGGUGGAGUUGGUUGCAAGGAGAAACACUAAGUCAUCUUGUUUCUAGCACUUGUAAGGUGAGUAGUUGAGAACUUGUCUUUUGUUAGUGGUAAUGUGAAAUUAGUAGAGGUUAGUAGUUAAAGAGGCCAUUUUAUGGAGUAUUUCAUGAUUUAUACUUGAGUUGUGUCAGUUUUCCCAUUUAUUAAGGAAUUUUCUGUUUUAUAUGAUUUCUCAUGGUUAGCUAGGUUGUGAUGGUAUUUUAUUGCAUGAUUUGGAGCCUAGAUAUGUUAAUGGUGUUUAAUUGUAGAAAAUUUCAGCAUUUGUAGGAUUUUCGGUUUUUAGGUUUUGGUAUAAAUUGGGGUUUUUCUAUAUAUGGUAUAUAUGCUAGUAGUUGAUGUGUAUUUGUUUGUAUUGUGGCUUAAAUGGGAUGAAUGGACUAAAUUGUGAUAUAUAAGUGUAUUGGUACAGGUUGAAUGCUUGUGGUUAGGUUGGAAAUGUGAAGAAAUUAAGGGGUUAUGCCGUCCAAAUGGUUAGAAAUAUAGAUGGUUUUGUAUUGAGAAGGAUUUGAGUAGAAAGGGAUAAGUUUUGGGUUUUUACUCACAUCCCACACCUUAAUGUUUCAUUGUAUUGGCUUUUGAGCAACUUGCAUUAGUAAGUUAAACUUGUACGUUGAAUUGUGUUUGAGUCUUCAAUAUGGUUAUUUGCUUGUUUUAGGUCGUACCGGUGGGCCGGGACCUACACCUGAUUCAAACGUGUGACUUGCUUGAAAAUUUGGUGAGUGUACCAGUAUAUGAUGAACAUACUUGUUAUGUGAUUUUAAAGGUCUUGAUUUGGGUCGAGAGUGUACUUGAUCGCUCUUGACCACUUACUUGCAUUUACCAUUAUUGUUUGGAUGUGAAGUGGUAUAUAUACAUGAUUUAACAUUUGAUGGGGCAAUGCCUUAAUAUUAAUGUGAAAUUGAGCUUAUGCCCUUAGACCGUUAUUCGAGUCGAGCCGGCAAGGGCUUGGGCGAUUCGUUAAUGAGCCUUUGGGUUCUUGAUAGGCGAGUGGAGUGUUAACUCCUCGACCUUGUGGUAUACUCGAGUAUUACCCUUUUGGAACUAUGAGGCGGCGGGCCCGAAUAGGGGGUGAAUGGUGGAAGGAAAUGGUGCGAAGUGGUGUCUACGGAUCUUGGAUUGUUUAAAUGGUUGACGGAGUGUCAACAUGUGCGAUCAAGUAUGGCAAUCGGAAACCGGCCCUUGAGGGUCACAUGUAUCCUUUUAUAUGUGUAUGUUUGUAUGAAGGUGUUUAUGUAUAUGUGUUAAUAGUUGUAUCAUGAAAUUGUGCAUUUGGUACCUCACGAGCGUAAGCUCACCCCCGUUGUUUUGUUUUCCUUACAGGAGCAUGAUUGGAAACAAGUUUUGAUAUGAGUUGAGCUAGUUAAGUGAUAGUUUUGAAAAGCUCCUCGAGAACUUGAACUUUUGAUGUAUAUGACUUCGUGUACCUUUGAGGUGUAAAUUGAACCUUUCUUAUGUAUAUAAGGCAUGUACAUAUAUGUCUUUAUCAAGUCUUGGAUGAACUACAUUAUGUGUUUGGUGUAUUUAUGUGAGUACCGUAUGCAAACGAAGGAAGAAAGAAUUUUUGGCAAAACACUGCCCAGAAUCCGGCCAAGAAUCUGGCCAGUUUCUGGCCGGAUACAAGGCCGGAUAUGCAGGGGAAGAAAAAAAAAAUUUUUGAUUUUGCUUCUGGCCACAAUCCGGCCAGAGCAAUCCGGCCAACUUCCGGCCGGAUUUCCGGCCGGAUUGACAGGGAAAUUUCAAACCCUUUUGGGUUUAGCCUAGGCCUCCUAUCCAGCCGGAUAUCCGGCCAGAUUCUGGCCGGAUAGUGACGCAAGGCGGUUACUGUUCAUCCGCGGCAAAUUUUCGUUCUUCGUUUUCUGGUCCGAUUGAAGUGCUCGAGCGCUAUACUUUCUUGCGUGAUGAUACUAUUGUUCCAAGAACACCUUAAUGGGAUAAAUCGCUCAUUUCGUUGAGUUUUCUUUUAUAAAUUAAAUAUGUAUUUGAUUGUUUUGCGAUCCGUAGUCCUGGCGAGAGCUGGGCAGGCGGUCCGUCACCCCUCUGGUUCGCCAUAGGGGAAGAUGGGGUCGUCACAGCUUUCUCCAGACCAGCCAUCCAUGGACCUAUCUGAGCUUUCUCUGCAUUUCUUGACGCCUAGACUGUGCACCAAAAAAUUACUGAUAAGGGUACGGCAUGUUUGUACAACAUAUCUUCGAAAUUGGAAUCCCUAGAUGUUGCACCACAAACACCUAGCUGGAUAUCGAGUUUAUCAGCUUCGUUUCUCCAACACAUACCCUCAUAAUUCUUACAUGGCUUCAACAAUCUUUCUAAUCCAUAUUGGAAAAGUAUGACCUGACAAAUGGAUAAGAAGAGAACGAUGCCUAGAUUAUCAUUCUAGGUUUAGGAAGGAGGGUUUUAUUGAAAGAAAGCCAUCAUCCCUGAGGAUAUCUUGAAAUCUCUCCAUAGCGCACCACACCACAUAGGCGGAUAUGGAGCUUAUCAACCUCCUAAUUCUCCCACUCCCAUUCCCACACAUCCAUAGGACCAAAGUCACAAGUCCUGCAAAGUGUUCCAUCAUCAGAAUCUCUGGUCGGAUUAUUUCUCCUUACCCUAAGUGAGGCACAUGCAUGAUGCAACUUCAGGUAGAGUUAUUACUUCCAUGAAACAGCCACCGAGCAUCGAUCAAACUACAUAGCAUCCCUUUGGAUCUCUUGAUCUCUCUCGAUGAACAAAAUAUAUAAUCCCGAAGGAAUGAUGCAAUCUCUCGGAGAUCUGUCCCAGCAGCAGAACAAUCAAGACUUUGACUUUUCUUUUCAAGGAUAUGAAGUGAUGCAAGCUGGAUUCAGGGAUCAACCAGGUCAAACCCUAAAACUAGCACCGCUUGGGACUUCAGGCUUCUGAGUCUUGGGACAGUUGUUUCACGUGAAGUUUAAGGAAUCCGAUCUAAAGAUGGUGCAAACAAGUGGAAAAAACCAUUUCGAUAUGCUAGAUAUACAGCAGAGGGAAACCUUUUUCCAAACGGUGUUGUCGCGCCCCAUUUUUAUUAAGAAAAAUAAAAGACGAGUUUAGAAAAACGGCUUUUGAUUCAAUUUUUUAUUGGAAAAUAAAUUUUUGUUUUAAAAAAAAUGAAAAAACGUGGGUCUAAAUGGGACUUGAAAAUGGACGAUUUGACCCAAAAUAUAGUUUAAAAAGGGUUUUUGAGUGAAAAAUGGAGUCGCCACUUGGUAUAGAAUUUAGGUGUACCAAGUCACCUAAAAAUGAAUUUUUAAAGAAAAAAGUAGAAAACCCUUUUUAAACGACUCCAAAUCUACGAAAAUCAGAGAAAAAGAUUCGGGAGUCACAUUUGAAGAAAGGGAAGGCAAGGAUAAGAAUCCAAGACACCCUUUCAACCAAACCAAGGCUAGUUGCGCGAUUUAGUCAAAGAUCUUCUUCUUUUAACCUAAAGAUUUAUCACAUUUGGAUGUACUAUAUGAAUGCAAACCCUAAACCAAGGAGAAUGUCGGGGUGUUGAAAUGUAUCUUUAAAACUUACUUGGUACCAAUCACAUUAAUUGUGAUGUCCAAUAAAGACUCUUCGAAGAAGUCACGAAUAAUGCAAGUCAUAAGACUCGAAAGAAAGAAAAAGUAAAGAAAACAAUAAUAUACAAAUGUGUAUGACCUAAAGGAAUGCAUCAUAAUGGGUGCGGGGGACUUAUACUCGUGACUUUCAAUGUUCCAUUUAAUAGAGGAAAUACGAGCGUGCUAAGGCUAGAAAAGUCAAACUCGUCCAUAUCCCAUAUCCAAGGGGUUAUCUCUAGUCUAAUUAGGCAAAAUGCACUAAUCUACCCCCUAAUUUCCUAAAUGAGAUGCAAAUCUAAAUGUUAUAUAUACAUAGGGGUAAGGGAUAUUUUAUUAGGGAAAAUAUUAUAUGAAAAUGAUAAAGAUCCUAAAAAAUGGAAAAAUAUGCAUGAAGUGUAAUGUAAUCAUACAAACAUGAUCUAGCGAGGGAGAUCCCUAAGGGUCUAGCAUUGGACUAGCCCAUGUCUAUGGAUCCUCACUAGCAUUGGACUAGUGGGGAAAUCGGAAAAAAGAACCACAACUAGCGUUGGAUUAGUGUGGUGACGGGAAAGGAAUCACAACUAGCAUUGGACUAGUGUGAUAAAAUGCAUUUAUUACAGUCUAAGAAAUCAGAUAAAGCAUAAUAAAGAAAAUAAACACAUAAAUCACAUAUAGCAUACAACACAUAAGCAUGAUGUCUAGAUGCAAGACCCUAGGAAAGCGAGUAACACAUAACACGUAGGCAUGCAAAAACACACAAGGCAAAUAAAGCAAAUAAAGCCCUAACUAUUACAUUCGGGGAACCCUACUACAAUCUAAAAGGGGGGGAAGGAAUAAAAUGAUAUAAUAACCUAACUAUUACAAUUGUGGCAUUUAAUUGCCCUCCCAAAUAAUUACAAAUUAAAUUAAAAUAAAUAUACAAAAUUAAAACAAAUAAAGUAACUAAAUGAACAAAUAUAAUGAGAAUAUUCAAAAAGAAAAAGAAGCAUGCAAUUUCACACAUAAUUUCACAUAAGUGCACAUAGGAUCAAAUAAGUCAAAAUAAGGGAUAGGGUGUACCUCCCUUGAAUUGAGGCUCUAAUGAACUGAAGUCACUUAUUUACCCUCCAAAAUACAAAGAAAGGGUCAAUGCACCAUUUUAAUUAACAAACAAUCAUAAAAGAUAAAAAAAAUGAAUCGUGAAAUUGAAUCAAUUAAAUCAUAUAAAUAACCCACAUUCAAGAAGUCAAAAGAAUAAAAGACUUGACUGCAAACAUUAACAAAGUUCUGGGGUCAAAGUUAAAGAAAAUAAAGUGUAGGGACCCAUUUGCAAUUAAAUUAGGGAUCCAAUUUAAAGAAGUUGAAAAUGUCCAGGGCCACAGUAUAGUUAAUGAGAAAUCCAGGGACUGACUUGCAAAUUCAGUUACCAGAUUCUUAGAAAACAGGCCAUUGGGCCAUUUUAUUUAUUUGUUUGGGCCCAAACCUUCUCCAGCCCAAUCGAAACCCAAACAAAAUAGAUGGGUUAGUCUAAUUGUUCUUACCAAUUGAACCCAAUUAACUUAAUCACAAACCCAAUCCUAAAACGCAACCAAAAGUGUUGGGCUCCAUCUUCCUAAACCCAAAUCAGAAACCCAACAAAAUAAUCUAAAUCCACUUCCUUAAGCCCAAACAAAAAUAACCUCUUAAUCCAAAUCACUUGUUUCACUAAACCCAACAUGAUAAAAUCAACUAAAAUUAUUAAAUCAUAAUUAUGGCCUAAAACAAAAAAUUAAUCCACCUAAAAGACUACUUAACAAUAUGGUUCAAACACAAGAAAUUAGCUCAACUUUCUCAUUUUGGGGCCAUAUCAGAAUAAGGGAAAAUGUGAGAGGUCCAAACACAACAAAAGUAGGGACCUAAUUGAAGGACUUGUGAAGGUUUUGGGAUCAAACUAUGAAGUUCUAAAACUUUGGGGCACAAAUCACAGAAAAAGGGCAAAUUUCGGGGCUGAAAUUAUAAAUCUAGUCAAAUGAUCAUCUUCUCCAAACGGUCUAAGCGUCAUUAGCAUUUCAGCUUUCUUUCGAUCAGCAACACCGAAAAUUUGGUUUCAAUUCCAACCAUUCUCAGUCAAGCAAUGAAACCCACAAGAAUUUCCCCUCCCAACUUUAAAUCGAAUUCAUACGAUGGGAAACAAAAGGAACAGCACAAUGUAAGGCAGCGAUGCAUCAAAAAUUCUCAAACAUGAGGGAAGGAAUUGGCCGACUUAAACAGUUUCUUCACACGAAAAAUGCAAACAGAAUAUAUUUCGAUAAGAAAUUUUCAAUUGGGCAUUUCGUCGAACAGGUUGAGGACAUAAGAAAUUUCACUGAUUCUUUGUUCAAUCUGAAGUUAAUCAGCCCAAGAAUUGGUAAGAAACAUAAAGACAUUCAAUCCCAAUCAACACAGAAAGCAUGUAUGCUCAAAAUUGCGCACAAUCAACAUAAAAAUCACAAUAAGCUAAUCUCUGUUUUGAGAUUCUUAUGGGUCUAAGCUUGAAGAGAAGACAGAAUUUUUUAAAGGGGGGAAGAUGACUUACCGCAUCUGUUCGGUUGAAGAUUUGCAGACGAUGGUGAUGGAUGUCCGAUGAGGCAGUGAUGGCUCGGCGAGCGACGGCGGUUUCGGCAGCUCUUCAGAUGAGCAGUCCUCGCUCUAUUUCUUCGCAGCUCUCCUUCUUUUCCUCUCGUCCGCCGCCCCUUUGGUUUUUCCUCUUGCUCUGUUUUUGAGCCGAAACCUCUCUCGGCCUUCUCUGUUUUUCCCCACCGAAGCCCCCUUUCUUUUCCUUCCUCUCUAGCUCUCUCCUUUUGCUCCGUCCGCCGCCCCUAUUGCCUUGCCCUCUGUUUUGCUCCACCCGCCACCUGUGGAGUCUUCUUUUUUCUCUUCCUUUUUCUCUCCGCCACCCCUUGCCUCUGUAUUUCCGAAGCCCUCUCUACCAUUUUUCCUUUAGCUUUGUUUUCUUUUUUUUUUUCCUUCCGACGAAGCUCCCCUUUUGCUUUCUGCUAUUGUUUUUCCUCCUCUGGCUCCCUCUUCAAUCAGCCUCUUU